UCUGUUCCUUACACACAGAUCGACUGUCGGCUCGACAUACUCCCCGAGGGAGGAGACAAUAGGCGAAAUAAUUAUUAUUGUAUACGAGACGGAGAUCGACACGGCCCUGCUACGCGGUGAUUCUAACCUCGGUAUAUCUUGGUUAUUAUCAAUCCGCCCACCGAACGCUCGGUAGGAUAAUUAUUAAAUAAUUUCUCCCGAAAUGCCGGGCCGGCCGUCUCCGUCCUUACCGCCUGAUCGAAGUGGUGGCCUUACAGAUAUGGCGACGUCGUCGAGGACUGUGGAACCGCUCUCUGUGUCGUCUCGCCGAACAGUGACGAACCGUGAGCGGUCGGGAGCGCCCCGGAUAGCGGCUCGCGCAUCGAUCGCGCUUCGAUCCGCGCACACCGAUCACUAGUCAAUGGGGGGUCCUCUGCCAGUCCUACAGGAUCUCAGCAUCCGAGGGCGCCUCUGGUCGUGACGCCGCGCAAUUCAAGGGUUGCGGAUUGCACGCCUCGAUGUCCUUUGCCGUAUCGGCUGCUGCUGGGCCGGCUCGGGGUUGAUCAGGACCCGUCCGGCUUACUCCUCGAGGCGGUGACGACCGCUCCGGCUGGGAUUUCCUCCACCCUGGUCGUCGGGUGUAAGGGCGCACGCUCUCUCCCCGGCGUCGUCUCAGGCUGCACCGGACUGCUGCUCCUUUCUCUAUAAUGGAAUAUAGCGGCAGUAUUUGUCCCACGACUUUUCCUACGUACCUCGGUACUGUACGUAAAUACUUGCCCUGGCUCGCUGUUCUCCGGCUGCCCGGGGCCCCGCCGCUCGCUCGUCUAUGCUUCUUGCUGACAGUUCCUCAACGGCUGCUCCAUAAUUUACAAAUGGUCAUCGUGGCACACCACUUCUCCCGCGGAUCGCGUCUUCCGCUUGGCGGAUACCUAAGUCUUAUGAACUAAAGAAAUAUUACUCAGAAAAGGAGAGGCCGCUCUCCUCCUCGAGGUAACGAGCGGCCCCAAAUGACCUUUCCCGGUCGGGCCAUCCGGCCCUUGUGACUGACGAAAAACGUCACGUCACAGUGUAAGCAACUAUACGGAGAACAGUUUCUUUCAUACAAUGUACAUGGCCUUUUGCACAUAGUCAACGAUGUUAGGCAAUUAGGUUCUUUGGAAACGUUCAGUGCAUUUUGCUACGAGAACAAUAUGCCGGAAUUUCGAAAACAUAUUCGAAAACCGCACCUUGCUCUUCAACAAUUCUAUAAGAGGAUGUGCGAACUAAAUAAUUUUAGUUUUGCACACGUCGAUAACCAUAUCCAAAUUUGUGGUUCUAAACCUCAUGCAGAGGGUCCUCUAGUAGAAUACAUCCUUGCCCGUCUUUGCCAGCAAUUUCGGAAGCUGCAAGUGCGAAAAAUCACAUUUUCAACAUCCACGCGUGAUAAUUGCAUUUUCUUCAAAAUUCUAAUGUCUGCUUAAUAACGAACAUUGUACAAAGGGAAAAAAAUAUUUUUUUCAUUGUUCAAAAAUUUCGUACACAGAUUGCUUUUGCGACGUAGCUUUCCCUCGGGAACCGUCAAGUCCGAAAGGGUUAUGCCCAAUUAAACGGUAACCUUUAUUAUUUUUAACGAGUAACGCUUUCUCAACAAAAAUCGGUAGUUUACGAAAACGGUAUCUCCCCAAUGGAACUUGAAAAAGUUCUCCCCAACGAUAUCGGUAACUCGCGGAAACGGUAUCUCCAAAGGUUCUCUCAACGAUAUCGGUAACUCGCGAAAGCGGUAUUUCCAAAAUAUCGCUCGAGAAUGCUCUCUCCACGAUAUCGGUAACUUGCGUAAACGGUACUUCGCAAUACGAUAUAUUUUGGGCGCCAGGCGCGAGUUUCCGCGCCACACAAUAAUUGACGAUAAUUCGGUAGCCAAAGAGAAAGCGUUACUGAUGCCGGUAGCUCUUUUACUCGAAGCGAUAGAGGGGCGUAGUUCUUAGAUAAACGGGAGCUGUGGAGAUUUCAGAUCAAGGCAGGUCGCAGAAUAGAAUCGGUACACAAUUUUCAAAUAAAUAACAAGGAUCGAAACAUAUUUCUUGAGUGAUGAAAGAAUACGGUAACAAACAGAAAUAAUUGAUACUACUCAACUUAUCGGAACACGAUCAAUUCACGCGACGGAGACGAAAACAAGAAGUUAAGAAUAGUAAAAAUUGCGGAAACUUUAAAAAAUCUACUAUAUAAGGCGAGAGGCCGACGAGGCUCUCUGCUCGAACAACAACAAAUAUAAUAAUUCACGGAAACUGUAUUCGCGAUAACAAGAACUUUACUAUGAACUAAAGAUGACUGUCGGCGCCGGCUUUGUCCGAAAGGGACGAACUUAACUAAUCGAUAUUCGGGGCCGAUCGGUUCAAUCUCUCGUGCGGCAACGAGACUCUAUUCUUUAAUUCGAGUGUCUCUAGCGCAAAAGUAAACACAAAAACGGUAGCGGAUUCCAAAUUACCGGUAACACGACCAAAAGCGGUAUUCUUUAUCCGGACCCGCACGAGAGUCGAUCGCCUUAGCCGAAUUUUACGCAAUUCCUGAGGGCUGCCGAGUGAUGGCCUUACAAUGCAAAAAAUCUUGUCCACCAGAGUCGGUAACAAAAGAGCUGGUCCUCGUCGAUACGCCACGGUACGCAGCUCACCGAACAGUGAGGAACCCCGGUCCCACGCCGUCCGGCUCGAGCCGCCGCGCAGGCGCGUUCAAUUUUCGGAAGGUAGAUCCGCACGCCUCGCCGGAUCCUCGAUCCACCGCAGCGCCUUCAUCCCUCGGAAUUUUCCGGAAUCAGCGCGUGUCGAUUUUCAAAUGCGAGGUCUCAAAAGAGAGAUCUUGUCCUGCCGCUUCGGCUGGUCCGGCUAGCCAGGCCGCGACCGAACCGAUUUUUGUGGCGGGCGGUUGGUAUUGAUACGGCUGCUCCCCCGGUCUGCAGCCCGGUGGCGUGCCCUCGGCGUGAUUCUUCCAGAGGAUCGUCCUGCAUUAACGCGGUAUCCUGACGGAGUCGGUAAUUUCAUAGCUCAGAGACGGCAACGCGCAGCGGGGCCCGACGCACGGCUCGGCGGGGAACUCUUGGCGAGGUGUCCCGUCCACUACCGGUAGAUGACGCCGAAACUCCCACGACGGCUGCUUCUCUUUCGUCGUUGCAACACUCAGAUGUAGCCCUCACUCGGCGCCUUAUUUCUAGUAAAGCUUAACAAAACAAUAUGAGAAAAGUGGUAACGCGAAAGUCAAAGGUACAUUGAAGUUGCUUCCCCCUCGACUCGGCGAGGAGAAGUCCCAGACCGACCCCCUUGAUCGGACUUACGCCCUUGUGAUGAGCGCACUCGAACACGCCACGUCACACUUUAUAUGAUGUUGGACUGAUUUCCGAUUGUGUGAGAGUAUAUAAUUGCUGAAAUCUGUCACAUACAAUCGAGGCAGUCAACUUAAUCGAUGUCAAAGGCAAAAUGUACAGGCUGCCGAAGUGAAGUGGUGUAGAAGGCCAAAAAGAGUGCGUUCUUGCAAAUGAGUAGAUUUGCGUAUCUCUACUUACAUCCCUGAUAAUACCUCAAUAUUAAAUAGAAGAAAUUCUGAAGACAUUACAAUUUACUGACUACUUUUCCAAAAAUAAAAAACCAUACAACACAAUUUAUAGAAAUUUUUUGUGUUAUUCACAUUUUAUUUUUUUUGUGUGUGCAAUGUUUAUUUAAAUAAAGAGUAACAUUAUUGCUUUCAACAAAAAACACGAGAUUAAUAUUUGUUAAAAAUACAUGUAGUUUUAAAUGUAGUUUUAAAUCAUUACAUUUUGUUGUUGUUUAUCGAAAUCGUAGCAACAUGGAAAAUAAAGCAGAAGAAAAGAAAAAAGUUUUCAAAAUUUCGAGCACUGGUGGAGUACUAAAGCCUUCAAGAAAGUUACUGACAUCUUCGGACGAUGAGUCUAAACGCCCAAACAAAAAACCUAAGAGUAAUCCAUAAAACGCAUGAAGUAGGAAAUUGACUGACUAUGACUGAUAGCCAAAAAGUUCGAAAAUGCCGGAGGCAACAAAAAAUAUGUUAAUGCGUCAGAUAGUGAUGAUUCAAAAGUCAUCUUGUGUGAAAAAACGAAGGAAACGUUGUCUGUUUCGGAUGAGCUCUCUUCCGGAUUAGACUCUCCGAUUUUUAAAUGUAGCAUGGAUAUAUCACUUAAUUCUCCAAAAGAGACGAAUCUAACUUACCUCUUCGAAAGUUAACAGUGCUGCCCCGAUUAUUGAUACGAUAGACUCACGUAACUCAAAUGAAAUCCUCGAAA
rnacentral:lncRNA from 1 species